rnacentral:rRNA from 1 species
GACGAACGCUGGCGGCGUGCUUAACACAUGCAAGUCGAACGAAGUGGCGAACGGGUGAGUAACGCGUAAUCAACCUGCCCUUCAGAGGGGGACAACAGUUGGAAACGACUGCUAAUACCGCAUACUGAAGGAGGGGAAUGCGUCUUAUUGGCUAGUUGGAGGGGUAACGGCCCACCAAGGCGAUGAUCAGUAGCCGGUCUGAGAGGAAGAACGACCACAUUGGGACUGAGACACGGCCCAGACUCCUACGGGAGGCAGCAGGGGGGAAUCUUCCGAAAUUGACGAAAGUCUGACGGAGCAACGCCGCGUGAGUGAUGACGGCCUUCGGGUUGUAAAGCUCUGUUAAUCGGGACGCGGUACCGGAAUAGAAAGCCACGGCUAACUACGUGCCAGCAGCCGCGGUAAUUC